AAUUUUAUAGUUAAAUUAAAUAACAUUAAAUUGCAAAUUUAAAAUUAUAAUUAUUGAAUUAUUAAAAUUU
rnacentral:tRNA from 1 species